rnacentral:tRNA from 1 species
GGUUCCGUAGUAUAGCAGUUAGCACAUCUGCUUUACACACAGAAGGUCCUAGGUUCACACCCCAGUAGAGCCC